rnacentral:rRNA from 1 species
AUUGAACGCUGGCGGCAGGCUUAACACAUGCAAGUCGAACGAGUGGCGGACGGGUGAGUAAUGCCUGGGAAACUGCCUGAUGGAGGGGGAUAACGACGGGAAACUGUAGCUAAUACCGCGUACCAUAGGAUGAGCCCAAGUGGGAUUAGCUAGUAGGUGGGGUAAAGGCCUACCAAGCCGACGAUCCCUAGCUGGUCUGAGAGGAUGACCAGCCAAACCGGAACUGAGACACGGUCCAGACUCCUACGGGAGGCAGCAGUGGGGAAUAUUGCGCAAUGGGCGCAAGCCUGACGCAGCCAUGCCGCGUGAAUGAAGAAGGCCUUCGGGUUGUAAAGUACUUUCAGCGGGGAGGCGUUACUCGCAGAAGAAGCACCGGCUAACUCCGUGCCAGCCGCCGCGGUAAUAC